rnacentral:rRNA from 1 species
UACGAAGGGGGCUAGCGUUGCUCGGAAUCACUGGGCGUGAAGGGUGCGUAGGCGGGUCUUUAAGUCCGGGGUGAAAUCCUGGAGCUCAACUCCAGAACUGCCUUUGAUACUGAGGAUCUUGAGUUCGGGAGAGGUGAGUGGAACUGCGAGUGUAGAGGUGAAAUUCGUAGAUAUUCGCAAGAACACCAGUGGCGAAGGCGGCUCCCUGGCCCGAUACUGACGCUGAGGCACGAAAGCGUGGGGAGCAAACAGG